CGUACCGUAUAGAGAUACGGACUUCUUCAAAACUCUUAAAAUUAAGAUAUAGUUCCACAUUGCAGUGUUUAUCGGGUAGCUCGAAUAUUUUGUUGAUAUUCGUACAUUUAGAUUGAGCAAGACCUCUCGAAAUUGAGUUGCAGUUACAUUUAACAGUGUAUAGCGGAAUUUAUUCUAAAAUAAUCUUUCGUUGACUAGAUAACGAAACGUUAAAUCUUGAAAAUGGGUGAAGCGAUUUAAACGAAUCUUUGGUGUCUGUUGUCUCUCUAAUGCCCUCAUUUUGAUGAUGGAAAACGAUGUUGCAAAUUUAUUCCAUUAAGGAACAGGGGCAAAUUUCUCACAUAUCUAAAGUGCUGUCCGAUUCAAGUUUAAGCUCAAUGACCUCCUUUUUAUAUCCGAGUUCGUUUCAAAACCUCCUUUUAUAACCGAGUCUGGCGUCCCGCAGUUCGACAUGUAUAGUAUCCAGGAGGAAUAGGUGGGAUUAGCAACCGCUUAAAAUUUGUAUCUGAAGUUCUCGCCAGGAUUCGAGAUUCGAUAUGGCAGCCAUAUCCAAAUAAAGACCGAUCUGAACCAUAUACG
rnacentral:sRNA from 1 species